CACGUAGGGGCCAAGCGUUGUCCGGAUUUAUUGGGCGUAAAGAGCUCGUAGGCGGUUCGACAAGUCGGGUGUGAAAACUCCGGGCUCAACCCGGAGACGCCACCCGAUACUGUCGUGACUGGAGUCCGGUAGGGGAGUGGGGAAUUCCUGGUGUAGCGGUGAAAUUCGUAGAUAUUAGGAAGAACACCGGUGGCGAAGGCGGCCCACUGGUCCGGUACUGACGCUGAGGUGCGAAAGCGUGGGGAGCAAACAGG
rnacentral:rRNA from 1 species